rnacentral:tRNA from 2 species
GCAGGCGUCGUAUAACGGUUAUUAUAUCAGCUUCCCAAGCUAAGGAUGCGGGUCCGACUCCCGUCGCUUGCU